UACGAAGGGGGCUAGCGUUGCUCGGAAUCACUGGGCGUAAAGCGCACGUAGGCGGCUUUUUAAGUCAGGGGUGAAAUCCUGGAGCUCAACUCCAGAACUGCCUUUGAUACUGGGAAGCUUGAGUCCGGGAGAGGUGAGUGGAACUCCGAGUGUAGAGGUGAAAUUCGUAGAUAUCUGGAGGAAUACCGGUGACGAGGACGGCGCUCCUGGACCGGCAUUGACGCUGAGUGAGCGAAAGCCAGGGGAGCAAACGGG
rnacentral:rRNA from 1 species